CCUGCGAUCCUCCUAACUACUCCUGGUCGUCGUCAGCAGGCUGUACGUAGUAGUAGGCACCUCCGGUGUAGUAGGGGUCGUCGUCGACGGUGGCGUCUGGCUCUUGGACUCCAGCAUCUGGUUGCGACAACCAGAAAGAAAGGAAAGGGGAAAAAAGUGGGGAGAAAGCAACCGUGAGUACUCAUCCAAAGUACUCGCAAGCAAGGAACUACACUACAUAUGCAUGGGUAUAUGUGUAAGGAGGCCAUAUCAGUGGACUGAACUACAGAAUGCCAGAAUAAGAGGGGGGGUAGCUAGUCCUAUCGAAGACUACGCUUCUGGCAGCCUCCGUCUUGCAGCAUGUAGAAGAGAGUAGAUUGAAGUCCUCCAAGUAGCAUCUCCAAGUAGCAUCUCCAAAUAGCAUCUCCAAGUAGCAUCGCAUAGCAUAACCCUACCCGGCGAUCCUCCCCUCGUCGCCCUGUGGAAAAGCGAUCACCGGGUUGUCUGUGGAACUUGGAAGGGUGUGUUUUAUUAAGUAUCCGGUUCUAGUUGUCAUAAGGUCAAGGUACAACUCCAAGUCGUCCUGUUACCGAAGAUCACGGCUAUUCGAAUAGAUUAACUUCCCUGCAGGGGUGCACCAACUUACCCAACACGUUUGAUCCCAUUUGGCCAGACACACUUUCCUGGGUCAUGCCCGGCCGCGGAAGAUCAACACGUCGCAGCCCCACCUAGGCUCAACAGAGAGGUCAGCACGCCGGUCUAAACCUAGGCGCACAGGGGUCUGGGCCCAUCGCCCAUAGCACACCUGCACAUUGCGAGGGCGGCCGGAAGCAGACCUAGCAUAGCAGGCGUUCCAGUCCAAUCCGGCGCGCGCCGCUCCGUCGCUGACGUCUGAAGUGCUUCGGCUGAUACCACGACACCGAGUGCCCAUAUCUUUCCCACGUAGUUGGUUAGUGCGUAUAGGCUCGUAGCCAACUCAGAUCAAAUACCAAGAUCUCGUUAAGCGUGUUAAAUAUCCGCGAACGCCGAACAGGGCCAGGCCCACCUCUCUCCUAGGCGGUCUCAACCUGCCCUGUCGCUCCGCCACAAAGAUCCACUCAGAGGGCCGUCGGGACAAAGGUUCUUUCAGCCCCCAAUCCGUGAAUCACUCGCGGGUACUCUUCGAGCUGACCCGACUUUAGUCACCAUCUGUAUAGUAUGUAUGUAUGUAUAGUAUAUACCCGUGAUCACCUCCCGAGUGAUCACGGCCCAAUAGUAUAGCAAGGCAGACUGACAAGAAUGUAGGGCCAAUAAUGAUAAACUAGCAUCCUAUACUAAGCAUCUAGGAUUGCGGGUAAGGUAUCAAUGACUGUAGCAACAAUGACAGGCUAUGCAUCAGAAUAGGAUUAACGGAAAGCAGUAACAUGCUACACUACUCUAAUGCAAGCGGUAUAGAGGAGAAUAGGCGAUAUCUGGUGAUCAAGGCGGGGGGGGCUUGCCUGGUUGCUCUGGCAAGGAGGGGUCACCAACUCCGUAGUCGAACUGGGGGUCGCCGGCAGUCUUGAGGUCUACCGGAAAGAAGUAACGGAGGGGGAACACAAUAAAUAAUGGAGCAAUCAAAGCAACACAAAGCAUAACAUGGUGAUACGCGGUGCUAGGGGUGACCUAACGCAGUAGGAGGUGAUACCGGUGAAGGGGGAAAACAUCCGGGAAAGUAUCCCCGGAGUUUCGCGUUUUUGGACGGAUGAACCGGAGGGGAAAAGUUGCGUGUUUGCUAUGCUAGGGAUGGGUGGCGGACGAACGGGCUGCGUAUCCGAAUUCGUCUCAUCGUUCUGAGCAACUUUCAUGUAUAAAGUUUUAAAUAUUUUCUAAAAAUUAUUGGAUUUAAUUUAAUUCGAAAUUAUAACAGUAAAUACUUUUGUCACCUAGUGUUACUCUAGCCUAUGAGUAUGCCAGUGGGGCCAGUGGGGUGGGCUGACUUAGUCAAAGAUUGAAUAGUUAAAUGAUGAACAGUGUAGGCGGGUCCCAUAUGUCAUUGUCUAUGGUUAAACUAGACUUUAAUUAAAUUAGAUUAACUAAUAUGGGGGGGGCACUGUAAUUGGCUAGCAGUUAACCUAAUAAUUGUUAUUCUAAAUCUAGAUUAUCCUAAACUAAUUGAACAUGGCCGGCCACUCACAGAACAACCACGCGCACACAAUGCUAGAGGUUAAAACUGUUUUCUGUCAACAAAAGAUAGCAUUUUGUGAAUUUUAUAGAAUUUAAUCCACGCAUCAAAUGGAUUUGGUCCAGUGGGGUAAAAUGAAGUUUGUCAAAUGCACUUUCUACUCAUAUUUAUCUUAGCCUUGUCAACAGCUAUUUAACCGCAGUUUAAGGCCUAUCUAGGGGGUUAGUCGGUGUAAAACACCUAAAGCUAGCCAUAUAGCUACGGUAGCUAGCAACGGUACAGGCAACGCAGCAAUGGCGCAAAGCAGUAGCAGGGACACGGCCACGCACGUAGCGCAUACGUAGCAGCAGGCAAUACGCAGCGACAAGCGGGGGCGCGUGGACAGGCGCCGUGCGCGGCGGGGCUAGCGGGGCGGCUGCACGACGAGCAGCAGCCGCCGGCGGCGGCGGCAAGCGGCAGCGGUAGUACCCGACAUCAACUAGCAGCAGUACGAUGCGGCAUCAAACAACGCGGCAGCGGCAGCAGCAGAGCGAAGUAGCAAGCAACGGCAGGAGCAAGCAGCGACACACACGGCAGCAGCGCAGGCACGCACAGGCAGCAGUGGCGGUCGAGCACGGGACAACAGCAGCGACAACAGGCAGCACGAGCAUCAGUGACAGCAGAAGCAGUAACAGGCGGCAGCAAGCGCACACAUGUACGCGUAUGCAGGGGUUCGAGCUCGACGGAGGUGGCGGCCUACGGCGUCCAAAUCGAAGGGCUAAAAGGGGGACCCGAGGGAGAAGCUCACCCCGGUUCUCGUGGACGAGGUUAGAAGGUCGGAGGCGGCCCGGAGCAGUGGCAACGACGACGAGUUGUUGACGUCCGCGACGGAGAAGGGCUCGAUUGCGAGUACAUGGACCGUCCCGGCUUGAGCUGGUCCCCGGAACGGACGCAUCCGGCCGCGGCGAACUUCCCGGACGUGCUCCUGCACGCCGGAGACGACGGUGGCCGCGGUUGACGGCGAGGUCAGCAGGGCAGAGGCGGACAGGUCGGGGCGCCACGAUGUCGGCGAGUGCAGAGGGAGGAGGGGGCGCGAG
rnacentral:lncRNA from 1 species